AGAGCGAACGCUGGCGGCAGGCCUAACACAUGCAAGUCGAACGGACCCUUCGGGGUUAGUGGCGGACGGGUGAGUAACACGUGGGAACGUGCCUUUUGGUUCGGAAUAGCUCCUGGAAACGGGUGGUAAUGCCGAAUGUGCCCUUCGGGGGAAAGAUUUAUCGCCAUUAGAGCGGCCCGCGUCUGAUUAGCUAGUUGGUGAGGUAAAGGCUCACCAAGGCUACGAUCAGUAGCUGGUCUGAGAGGAUGACCAGCCACAUUGGGACUGAGACACGGCCCAAACUCCUACGGGAGCAGCAGUGGGAAUCUUGCGCAAUGGGCGAAAGCCUGACGCAGCCAUGCCGCGUGAAUGAUGAAGGUCUAGGAUUGUAAAUUCUUUCACCGGGAGAUAAUGACGGUACCGAGAAGAAGCCCGACUAACUCGCGCAGCAGC
rnacentral:rRNA from 1 species